rnacentral:rRNA from 1 species
GAUGAACGCUGGCGGCGUGCCUAAUACAUGCAAGUCGAGCGAACAGAUGAGGAGCUUGCUCCUCUGACGUUAGCGGCGGACGGGUGAGUAACACGUGGAUAACCUACCUAUAAGACUGGGAUAACUUCGGGAAACCGGAGCUAAUACCGGAUCAUAUAUUGAACCGCAUGGUUCAAUAGUGAAAGACGGUUUUGCUGUCACUUAUAGAUGGAUCCGCGCCGCAUUAGCUAGUUGGUAAGGUAACGGCUUACCAAGGCAACGAUGCGUAGCCGACCUGAGAGGGUGAUCGGCCACACUGGAACUGAGACACGGUCCAGACUCCUACGGGAGGCAGCAGUAGGGAAUCUUCCGCAAAGGGCGAAAGCCUGACGGAGCAACGCCGCGUGAGUGAUGAAGGUCUUCGGAUCGUAAAACUCUGUUAUUAGGGAAGAACAAAUGUGUAAGUAACUAUGCACGUCUUGACGGUACCUAAUCAGAAAGCCACGGCUAACUACGUG